rnacentral:lncRNA from 1 species
GGCCCAAAGCCCUCCCAUGCAUCCAGUGCUCCCCAAGUUUUGUCCUGCUGGUUCCUGCCUGACGCACGGGCCUCCCCGGACCUUGCCAGGACACAAACGGAGCCCAAGCCCCUCGCUGCUGACUGACCCCUCCAGUCCCUUCCCAGCUCUUCCCUGGUGGGUUUGCAGUCAGGAUGCGAGGAGCAAGAGGAGGAGAGGACUGCAUAUUCAGCACUUGACCCUGCCUUUUCCCAGGCAGAAAUUCAAAUGGGACCUCUCUAGGAGGGGGAUCACGACAUCUCCCCGGGGCAUUCCUAGCUAUUGUGGCUCCUCUCCUCUACCCCAGGCUAUGUGUGUUUGUAGUUACCAAAUGCAAAUCACAUUUCCCACCCUCCUGGCUGAAUCUCCCACUCCACAAGAUCCUGCCCCUGGUUUUUUUUUGGGGGUUGUUUUUUUUUUUUUUCUCUCUCACCAGCUCGUUUUGCAAUGCUCUGCGGAGUUCACAGCCCCUCCCGGUUUCACCUUCCUCUGAUCUGGGGAUGCACAGGAGGUGGCUAUAGGGAAGGUAUUUAAGCAAUCCUCCUAAUUAAGUACCUGCAUCACCUCUCGGCUCAGCCUGGCUCGGGACACAGAAACUGCAGCUAUUUUGCAGCUUAGCAGCUGAAGACUCCCUUUUCUGAGGAAUGCCGGUGACUAACUCCUAAUUGCAUUUUAAAAGAUAGCUUUUUGGUCUUCAGCAGCUGUGAUGGAAACCUGGCAGCUGUGGCUUUACUGUCACUCUGGGAAGGCUAGAUGUCAACAGCCAGAUCAAGUCAAUGGCACAUUAACAACUGAUAAUGAUAGUUAACUCACUCGGUUAACUAUGCGAGCAUAUGCUUCACCCCUGAGCAUUUCAGCUUCCAGCUCCCAGGCUUCUCUCAAGCCACCUUUGACUCUCAGCUCUUAUUCACUGUUAAUACAGAAACCUGGAGCACAUUAAGUGGAGGGGAUGGUUUACAAUAAACGCUCAUGAAUUGAUUCCGUGACCCUGCAGAGGCUAUUAAAAAUGAUUGAAUGAAUAUGGAAAUGAGUAAUUGUACAGCUGGACUCGGGCUGAAGGCGGCCAACUCCAUUCAAUGCAAACCACAAAUAAAGCAAAGCUCACGCAAAGCCACCAGAGUCUCUAGGUCAUGGUAUGAGCUGCGGGAAGUUGCCCUCGGAUUUCCACGAUGUUUACCUGCCCUCCUGGUGCUCUGGGCUCUCCUCAGCACCCGUCUGCUUAAACUCACCCUUUCUCACCAAAGGCUGCAUGACCAGGACUCUCUCACCCCGUGUGAGUGCUUGGCCAGCUUCCAUGCCAGGGGAAACGGGGGGCUGUCGGAGCCCCCAUCCCCAGCUCCUGACUCCUUGCCGUUCACACACACACGCUUGCCUAGUCCAGCCCACAUUCAGAUCAGAAAAUAAUCCCCAACUGCCUCAGUUUUCAGCCCCCAGCACUGAUCUCAGAAGCUGGCUGGUCAGAGAGCUGAGGAAGCGGGUGAUAGAAACCUUCCAGCAGCUUUACCAUAUGUGCACGGUAGCUGGGGCUGACAGAUACCUGUAAUUAAAGACAAACCUGAGCCAAUGAGCAGCAGGAAGAGUUAAGACAGAACUGGUCCCCCCUGUGUGUAAAGGAAUGGACAC